rnacentral:rRNA from 1 species
CGGAACGUACCUUUCAGUGGGGGAUAACGUAGCGAAAGUUACGCUAAUACCGCAUAUUCUGUGAGCAGGAAAGCAGGGGAUCGCAAGACCUUGCGCUGAUUGAGCGGCCGAUAUCAGAUUAGCUAGUUGGUGAGGUAAAGGCUCACCAAGGCGACGAUCUGUAGCGGGUCUGAGAGGAUGAUCCGCCACACUGGAACUGAGACACGGUCCAGACUCCUACGGGAGGCAGCAGUGGGGAAUUUUGGACAAUGGGCGCAAGCCUGAUCCAGCCAUGCCGCGUGAGUGAAGAAGGCCUUCGGGUUGUAAAGCUCUUUCAGCCGGGAAGAAAACGCAUGGGUUAAUACCCUGUGUGGAUGACGGUACCGGAAUAAGAAGCACCGGCUAACUACGUGCCAGCAGCCGCGGUAAUACGUAGGGUGCGAGCGUUAAUCGGAAUUACUGGGCGUAAAGCGUGCGCAGGCGGUUUGUUAAGAUAGGCGUGAAAUCCCCGGGCUCAACCUGGGAACUGCGUUUAUGACUGGCAAGCUAGAGUAUGGCAGAGGGGGGUGGAAUUCCACGUGUAGCAGUGAAAUGCGUAGAGAUGUGGAGGAACACCGAUGGCGAAGGCAGCCCCCUGGGCCAAUACUGACGCUCAUGCACGAAAGCGUGGGUAGCAGACAGGAUUAGAUACCCUGGUAGUCCACGCCCUAAACGAUGUCAACUAGGUGUUGGGAGGGUAAAACCUUUUAGUACCGGAGCUAACGCGUGAAGUUGACCGCCUGGGGAGUACGGCCGCAAGGUUAAAACUCAAAGGAAUUGACGGGGACCCGCACAAGCGGUGGAUGAUGUGGAUUAAUUCGAUGCAACGCGAAAAACCUUACCUACCCUUGACAUGUCCGGAAGCCCUUAGAGAUUUGGGUGUGCUCGAAAGAGAGCCGGAACACAGGUGCUGCAUGGCUGUCGUCAGCUCGUGUCGUGAGAUGUUGGGUUAAGUCCCGCAACGAGCGCAACCCUUGUCGUUAAUUGCCAUCAUUUAGUUGGGCACUUUAACGAGACUGCCGGUGACAAACCGGAGGAAGGUGGGGAUGACGUCAAGUCCUCAUGGCCCUUAUGGGUAGGGCUUCACACGUCAUACAAUGGUCGGUACAAAGGGUCGCCAACCCGCGAGGGGGAGCCAAUCCCAGAAAGCCGAUCGUAGUCCGGAUCGUAGGCUGCAACUCGCCUGCGUGAAGUCGGAAUCGCUAGUAAUCGUGGAUCAGCAUGUCACGGUGAAUACGUUCCCGGGUCUUGUACACACCGCCCGUCACACCAUGGGAGCGGGUUCCGCCAGAAGUAGGUAGCCUAACCGCAAGGAGGGCGCUUACCACGGCGGGGUUCGUGACUGGGGUGAAGUCGCAACAAGGUA